AACGAACGCUGGCGGCAUGCCUAACACAUGCAAGUCGAACGAGAUCUUCGGGUCUAGUGGCGCACGGGUGCGUAACGCGUGGGAAUCUGCCCUUUGGUUCGGAAUAACAGUUGGAAACGACUGCUAAUACCGGAUGAUGACGAAAGUCCAAAGAUUUAUCGCCAGAGGAUGAGCCCGCGUAGGAUUAGCUAGUUGGUGUGGUAAAGGCGCACCAAGGCGACGAUCCUUAGCUGUCUGAGAGGAUGAUCAGCCACAUUGGGACUGAGACACGGCCCAAACUCCUACGGGAGGCAGCAGUGGGGAAUAUUGGACAAUGGGGGCAACCCUGAUCCAGCCAUGCCGCGUGAGUGAUGAAGGCCUUAGGGUUGUAAAGCUCUUUUAGCAGGGAAGAUAAUGACGGUACCUGCAGAGAAAGCCCCGGCUAACUGCGUGCCAGCCGCCGCGGUAA
rnacentral:rRNA from 1 species